CCACAGUGUCUAUGAAAUAGUUGGCAUUUCAUGAACAUUUGUUGAAUGAAUAAUGGAUAACAUAUAUUGAGCUCCUUCUAGGAGCCACUCAUCAUGCCUUACCUGGAUGAUGCAGAAGUCCCUGGAAACAGAAGGUCUCACCCUUCUUUAUCUUUCUCAUGGCUUUCCAAGGCUCUUUAUCAUGUUACUUUCCUGCUCAGAAUUCUUUAAUGACUUGCCUCAAUGACCAGAUACAUGUGAUCUACAGUCAGCCUUCCAGCCUCAUCAUUCCUCUUCCAUUUCCUCCCCAGAAACACUGUACUUUAUGAAGCUCCUCCAAGACAGUUCAUCCAGUCCUCCAUGUUAGGAUGCAGCAACCAGGUAUAAUCUUGGAAGCAGAGACAGACCCUCACCAGACACAGUCUCCUGGGACCUUGAUCUUGG
rnacentral:lncRNA from 10 species